GUCGGGCAUGGUGGUGCGUGACUGUAGUCCCAGCUAUUUGGGAAGCUGAGGUGGGAGGAUUGCUUCAGCCCAGGAGUUCUGGGCUGUAGUGUGCUGUGCCAAUCGGGUGUCCGGCAUCAGUGUGGAGACCUCCAGGGAGCGGGAGACCACUAGGUUGCCUAAGGAGGGGUGAACCAGCCCAGGUCAGAAAUGGAGCAGGUCAAAACUCCCAUGCUGAUCAGUAGUGGGAUUGCACCUGUGAAUAGCCACUGCACUGCAGCCUGGGCAACAUAGCGAGACCCUGUCUCUA
rnacentral:SRP_RNA from 1 species